UUCUUUAUGCCUUUCACUCACAGCCCAAGACUGGUUACUCACUGAAUCUAAGCAGGGCUGAGCCUGGUUAGUACCUGGAUGGGUGACCACAUGGGAAAACUAGGUUGCUGUUGGAA
rnacentral:rRNA from 1 species